AAUAUUACUUUCGUCACUUUUUUUGGAAAUUAUUCAUUAGAUAUACAAUGCAGUGAAACAUUCAUUGCUAUAGAAAUUUGGAAUUAUCUAAAGAGUUCUCACAUGCUGUCAUUUAAUGAAAAUCAUUGGUCAAUCAUUAUCUUCACUGAAUCUUUGAAUUAUCUAUGAAUAUUACGUAAUAAAUUAUUUCUCAUACACCGUUUUUGGAAUAGAUUUCAUUAUCAAGGCGUGAUAAACAUGUACAUAUUCCGAAAACAAAUAUUUUUAGAACUGAUAUCAGAGUUUUUUCUUAAAAUAUAAUAUUUUUAAUAUAUAUCUGAUAACGAUCAUAAUCCGAUAAGUAUUCAAUAUAAAUGUUGCCGCUUUGUAAAUAUCAUCAGUUACAAAUUGAAGAACUAUCGAUUUAACGUCGUUUGCGACCAAGAGUUUAAUUAGUAUCAAUCGCUUUACAAUCACUAACCUACAUAAAUACAAUGAACCGUCCAAACAAUAUGCCCGGAGCUUUCACCGUCCAAGGAUACUCUAUCGCACCAAACCCCUGCUUUGGACCAAGCAGAUGCUCAGUCAACCCACAUUUUGGGGUACCUGCCAAUCCAUCACCACACUACAACACUUGCUUCGUCUCUGCAUCCUCGCUUAGGAAAACUUACCCACAGAUGACUCAACCUAGAAAUAAUAAUUAUUUUAAGUGAUUUACUUCGAUAAAAGCUCUGUUGAAUCUCGAUUUUUGGAAUAUAUUAGGUAUAUAAAAACAUAAGUAUGUUAAGUGUUGACUAAUUUCUAAGAUACAUAAUAAACCUAUUAACUCUUA